CAGCCGCCGCGGUAAUACGAAGGGUGCAAGCGUUACUCAGAAUUACUGGGCGUAAAGCGUGCGUAGGUGGUGGUUUAAGUCCGUUGUGAAAGCCCUGGGCUCAACCUGGGAAUUGCAGUGGAUACUGGGUCACUAGAGUGUGGUAGAGGAUAGUGGAAUUUCCGGUGUAGCAGUGAAAUGCGUAGAGAUCGGAAGGAACAUCUGUGGCGAAGGCGACUAUCUGGGCCAACACUGACACUGAGGCACGAAAGCGUGGGGAGCAAACAGGAUUAGAUACCCCAGUAGUCCCUGUCUCUUAUAC
rnacentral:rRNA from 1 species